GUAAGCUACUAAGAGCGAAUGGUGGAUGCCUUGACUGGUAAAGGCGAUGAAGGACGUACUAGACUGCGAUAAGCUACGGGGAGCUGUCAAGAAGCUUUGAUCCGUAGAUUUCCGAAUGGGGCAACCCAAUGUAUAGAGAUAUACAUUACCUAAUAUAGGAGCGAACGAGGGGAAUUGAAACAUCUUAGUACCCUCAGGAAAAGAAAUCAAUAGAGAUUGCGUCAGUAGCGGCGAGCGAAAGCGCAAGAGGGCAAACCCAGUGCUUGCACUGGGGGUUGUAGGACUGCAAUGUGCAAGAGGUGAGUUUAGCAGAACAUUCUGGAAAGUAUAGCCAUAGAGGGUGAUAGUCCCGUAUGCGAAAAACAAACCUUAGCUAGCAGUAUCCUGAGUAGGGCGGGACACGAGAAAUCCUGUCUGAAGCUGGGUCGACCACGAUCCAACCCUAAAUACUAAUACCAGAUCGAUAGUGCACAAGUACCGUGAGGGAAAGGUGAAAAGAACUGAGGUGAUCAGAGUGAAAUAGAACCUGAAACCAUUUGCUUACAAUCAUUCAGAGCACUAUGUAGCAAUACAGUGUGAUGGACUGCCUUUUGCAUAAUGAGCCUGCGAGUUGUGGUGUCUGGCAAGGUUAAGCAAACGCGAAGCCGUAGCGAAAGCGAGUCUGAAUAGGGCGCUUAGUCAGAUGCUGCAGACCCGAAACGAAGUGAUCUAUCCAUGAGCAAGUUGAAGCUAGUGUAAGAACUAGUGGAGGACUGAACCCAUAGGCGUUGAAAAGCCCCGGGAUGACUUGUGGAUAGGGGUGAAAGGCCAAUCAAACUUCGUGAUAGCUGGUUCUCUCCGAAAUAUAUUUAGGUAUAGCGUUGUGUCGUAAUAUAAGGGGGUAGAGCACUGAAUGGGCUAGGGCAUACACCAAUGUACCAAACCCUAUCAAACUCCGAAUACCUUAUAUGUAAUCACAGCAGUCAGGCGGCGAGUGAUAAAAUCCGUCGUCAAGAGGGAAACAACCCAGACUACCAGCUAAGGUCCCUAAAUCUUACUUAAGUGGAAAACGAUGUGAAGUUACUUAAACAACCAGGAGGUUGGCUUAGAAGCAGCCAUCCUUUAAAGAAAGCGUAAUAGCUCACUGGUCUAGUGAUUUUGCGCGGAAAAUAUAACGGGGCUAAAGUAAGUACCGAAGCUGUAGACUUGACUUUGUCAAGUGGUAGGAGAGCGUUCUAUUUGCGUCGAAGGUAUACCGGUAAGGAGUGCUGGAGCGAAUAGAAGUGAGCAUGCAGGCAUGAGUAGCGAUAAUUAAUGUGAGAAUCAUUAACGCCGUAAACCCAAGGUUUCCUACGCGAUGCUCGUCAUCGUAGGGUUAGUCGGGUCCUAAGUCGAGUCCGAAAGGGGUAGACGAUGGCAAAUUGGUUAAUAUUCCAAUACCAACAUUAGUGUGCGAUGGAAGGACGCUUAGGGCUAAGGGGGCUAGCGGAUGGAAGUGCUAGUCUAAGGUCGUAGGUGCUUAUACAGGCAAAUCCGUAUAAGAAUACACCGAGAACUGAAAGGCUUUUUGAAGUCUUCGGAUGGAUAGAAGAACCCCUGAUGCCGUCGAGCCAAGAAAAGUUUCUAAGUUUAGCUAAUGUUGCCCGUACCGUAAACCGACACAGGUGGGUGGGAUGAGUAUUCUAAGGCGCGUGGAAGAACUCUCUUUAAGGAACUCUGCAAAAUAGCACCGUAUCUUCGGUAUAAGGUGUGGUUCGCUUCGUAUUAGGAUUUACUCCGAAAGCGAAGAAACUUACAACAAAGAGUCCCUCCCGACUGUUUACCAAAAACACAGCACUCUGCUAACUCGUAAGAGGAUGUAUAGGGUGUGACGCCUGCCCGGUGCUCGAAGGUUAAUUGAUGGGGUUAGCAUUAGCGAAGCUCUUGAUCGAAGCCCGAGUAAACGGCGGCCGUAACUAUAACGGUCCUAAGGUAGCGAAAUUCCUUGUCGGUUAAAUACCGACCUGCAUGAAUGGCGUAACGAGAUGGGAGCUGUCUCAAAGAGGGAUCCAGUGAAAUUGUAGUGGAGGUGAAAAUUCCUCCUACCCGCGGCAAGACGGAAAGACCCCGUGGACCUUUACUACAGCUUGACACUGCUAUUUGGAUAAGAAUGUGCAGGAUAGGUGGGAGGCUUUGAGUAUAUGACGCCAGUUGUAUAUGAGCCAUUGUUGAGAUACCACUCUUUCUUAUUUGGGUAGCUAACCAGCUUGAGUUAUCCUCAAGUGGGACAAUGUCUGGUGGGUAGUUUGACUGGGGCGGUCGCCUCCCAAAUAAUAACGGAGGCUUACAAAGGUUGGCUCAGAACGGUUGGAAAUCGUUCGUAGAGUAUAAAGGUAUAAGCCAGCUUAACUGCAAGACAUACAAGUCAAGCAGAGACGAAAGUCGGUCUUAGUGAUCCGGUGGUUCUGUGUGGAAGGGCCAUCGCUCAAAGGAUAAAAGGUACCCCGGGGAUAACAGGCUGAUCUCCCCCAAGAGCUCACAUCGACGGGGAGGUUUGGCACCUCGAUGUCGGCUCAUCGCAUCCUGGGGCUGGAGCAGGUCCCAAGGGUAUGGCUGUUCGCCAUUUAAAGCGGUACGCGAGCUGGGUUCAGAACGUCGUGAGACAGUUCGGUCCCUAUCUGCCGUGGGCGUAAGAAGAUUGAAGAGAUUUGACCCUAGUACGAGAGGACCGGGUUGAACAAACCACUGGUGUAGCUGUUGUUCUGCCAAGAGCAUCGCAGCGUAGCUAAGUUUGGAAAGGAUAAACGCUGAAAGCAUCUAAGCGUGAAGCCAACUCUAAGAUGAAUCUUCUCUAAGCUCUCUAGAAGACUACUAGUUUGAUAGGCUGGGUGUGUAAUGGAUGAAAGUCCUUUAGCUGACCAGUACUAAUAGAGCGUUUGGCUUAUCUUU
rnacentral:rRNA from 1 species